GGCUCUGCUGGUCACUAAAAUGUGUCUGACGGUGAGAACAUUGAGCAGCAGAAUCAGGAGAAAUGGGACCCCCGGGGUUAGAAUGUGGUGGAGGAACUCGAUUGUGACCCAGACACUGGAGAAUACAACAGCGUCUGUUACAUCACAAAACCAGGGGGCGUGCCCCAGCGAAUACCGAGCCGUGAGCAUAAAAUACCAGGAAAUGUUCUUUAAACAGCUCAGCACAGUCACUGCUCCCAGAACCACAGCCGCCGUUUUCUCACUGCAAUAUUUACUUUUCAGCUUCUGGCAACAAAUGGCCACAAACCGAUCAAAGGUGAAAGUGACGGUGAACCAGACAGAGCAGUCAGUGGCUGCAUAAAGCAGGACGGCGUGGAUAUUACACACGGGGACGGAGUCCCUCAGGAAAUAAAACUGUUCCUGAUAAACAAUGGGAAUGUGUCUCAGGAUCAGGUCGAGGAUAAUGACCAGGAGAUCCGCCGCUGCCAUGGCCCCCAGGUAACGUCUGACACAUGGAGACAAUCCACAAUCUUUAUAAAGCAGGACGUGGAUGGUCACUACGUUAACUGUGAGGAAGGAAAACAAACCCAUUAUCCAUCAGCCUGGAGGCAAAGGGACCCCGUUUGAUCGGGGACACAGUGAGAUUUUCAAAUGUGUCCCUGUAUUCAGGGAUUUACGAAAAUAAUUGGAGCUGGAAUAACAAAUGGGAAGGUCGGAAUUACUGACAAAAACGUGUCAUAAACCACAAGAAACCCUCCCUCCCCAAACACACCGAGGACAGAUGGUUUCUAGAACAUCCCCACACACUUGAUCACUCGAGAGCAGACACAGGUCACUCCUUCCCAGUUCCUAAUACGGAGCGUGGAAACGUUGCUGUCCUGAAGGAUUCUGUCCCAGUUUCCUGAAGACAAACGGAGUUGGGAAUUUCCUGUAUUUUGGUCUAAAUUGUGGUCGAUCCUGUGUCGUGGAGAAAUGUAAACGCAGGGAAAACGUAUUCCCCCUUUAACUGCCUGAGGGGCCUUCGGAACAGUGUCUCCUUCUCCCUGGAACGGGAUCUCUUCCCUCGGGAUCUUAUCGUUUGUUCAAUUCACUGACGUCCGGCCGUUCACAAACAAACAACGUCAGGGACAGAACGUUCCGGGGAAUGUCAGUUAUAGAAUGUCGGGGACAGAACGUUCCGGGGAAUGUCAGUUAUAGAAUGUCAGGGACAGAAAGUUCCGGAGAAUGUCAGUUAUAGAAUGUCGGGGAUAGAACGUUCCGGGAAAUGUCAGUUAUAGAAUAUCAGGUAACCCCUUGACCUGUCCAUCUCCUUUCUCCCCGAACCACCCCACCAACAUGAUGUACUGUGCACAGGCUACAUACCUGUCCAGCACGGGGAGCUGCACUAACCACAUCAUUGCAUAAUCUUAAACCUCAGUCAGACAGUCGGACCAGCACAGAGACCUGUGCAGUGAUCACCCGUGAAUUAAUCUGUAACCCAGGAGCAGUUACCCUCCCAGCAUGUAGGACUGUGCACACCACCCCAGUGCAUUGAUCUGUAACCCAGGAGCAGUUACCCUCCCAACGUGUAGGACUGUGUACCCCACCCCAGUGCAUUGAUCUGUAACCCAGGAGCAGUUACCCUCCCAGCAUGUAGGACAGUGUACAACACCCCAGUGCAUUGAUCUGUAACCCAGGAGCAGUUACCCUCCUAGCAUGUAGGACUGUGUACACCACCCCAGUGCACUGCUCAGUAACACUGUGUUAGAUCCCUGCCCAGUGUGGGGAAACUUGCAGCCCAUGCUGGAAAUGACACGGUGUUCAGCUCCCAUCCAUUUAUAGCUCCAUAUCUCCAUUGUGCCAUGAUAAGGGAGUGCUGUGGGUGUGAAGAUCACUGCCAGAGAGAGAUGGUGGGGGUAUCAGUUUAAAUAUCACCACACGGGAGAGGUUUGGGAUAUAGACAGAGAGGGGGAGACUGAGAUACGGUGUCAUGGAAGGAUGUGUUCCCAGUUUUCAGAAUGCUGAAAUAUAGACACUUCGAUAGUAUCCUGUAACAUGAACCAGUCUUCCCAGGAAAAUUGGGAAAAAGGGAUACUGGUGUGUGGUCAGAUGAUGGAGAGUUUUGGAUGAACAUUUGUUCUAUAGCUUUGUAAAUGGGAUUGUAUUCAACAGAGUCCAAUACUUAUUCUGACAAUUUCUCUCAGUGCAUUGAGUGUGACAGGGAUCAUCCGCACGAGGCUGUGCUAAUUUCCUGGUGCUAUGUUAUCAGAAUCACCUCAUUAACUACCCACCCCACCCCAUGGUGUUCCUCUCAUUCAAUAUCAGCCCGAUUCUCCCACCCAUCAUCGCCCGGAUACACCUGGAUAUUCUGUGAUCCCUGGCACUGGUGACAUCUUUAAAAGACCAAUGGGCACACGGUUGACCUUUCUCAGCUUGAAGCUGCCCUACACAGUUUACCCAGAGCAUGACAGGUAUCUGUGUUAGCUGUCUGGAUACAGAAUUGGCUGACAAGCAGAAGACAGCGAGUGAUAGUGGAAGGAAAAUAAUUUGCCUGGAAGUCUGUGGGCCAUAUAAACAUAUCUUCAAAUCGACCGAGACCAUUUUCUGCUAAGGGUAUGGCUCUGUGUAUGACAGCAGCAAUGAUGCACCGACAUGGAACAGGGAAUGUGAUGGAGACAUAGUUUGGACAAUGUACAAGGAGACCUCACAUGGUCCAGUUUGGGAGAGAAUGACAUUAUUGUGUGAUUCAACUCAGAGAGGGAGAAAACGUCAUCUACCCGAGAAGAAACGGCCUAUUGCACUCUCUCUCCUUCAUUACUCCCCAUCACAGUAACGUGUACGAGCUAAAACAAAGCUCUACUGUCAUCGUUACCAUUCUUAUUUUUGUAAAUUCCCUGCAGUGUGGAAACAAGCCCUUCGGCCCAACAAGUCCAUACUAACCCUCCAAAGAGUAACCUUCUCAUGCCCUUACAGUUACCACUGACUAUUGCACCUGAAGUAGAAAUCGCUGAACAGCAUGGUCUAUUUGACCAAUCCACUUGAAUUAUACAGCUUUGGGCGGAAACAGGAGCACCCAUCAGAAGCUCACGCAGACCAUGGGAGAAGAUGCAAACUCCACGCAGAUAGUCGCCCGAGGCUGGAAUUGAACCCAUGUCCCUGAUGCUGUGAUGGAACAGUACGAACUACUGAGCCACUGUGCUAACCUGGAACCUCCUGACUGCCUAAUGCAAAGGGAAUUCAGCCAAAUCCAACUCUCCCAGGAUAAAAUCCCAUUGCUAGCGGCUGUGUGAGUAAAUUAUCUUCAGAAGCAGAAUAACAUUUUGGACAAACUCUCAAUUUUUCCUUUUUG